CAACGGGUGAGCAACAGUCUGAGUGAAAACCUUCACAUUUCUACUUCGAUCUUAAGAAAGCCAUACAGGUUUGGAACCAAGUGAAAACGCAGUGAUGACCAGCUUUCCAUCAGCUACGGAAUGUGAAAUAAAAAAUGCUAUUUCUAAUCAUUUCAAACAAGCACCAGGGAGGGCAGGG